CCUUAAGAGCUACUUCACACAAUGUCGCAAUGAGCUCGUCUGUGGAUAAAAUAAUCCGUCUUUGUUUGAGUGAUGCUUUUAAUAAUAUUUUUUAAAGCGGCAGGUUUCUACAAAGUCUGGCAGACAUUUCGCUAUCUUCUUUUCUGGAUAUAUACCACAGGGUGUGUUGGCUUCUGGGGAUUAUGACGCCCACAAUAAUAUAGUAUCCUACAUAAAUUUGGCUGGGACGUUUGCUGUUAACAAGGACCAACAAACAGCCAGGAAGAUUGCCUUGGACACUGCACUGGUACUGGCUUUUUCACAGCUGGUCUGCAUUUGAGAGAACAGUUGCUAAGUGCUUGAAAACUCAACAGCCUCAAAAAAGGUUUGAAAACCCUGGGGGGUUCUGGAGGCAAUGUCGGAAAAUCCAGCUACUCUUGCAAAGGUCAUAUGUCACCCUCAGCACUACACCUACAGCAACUUCUCUGCUCUGACGGAGCCUGAAUUGAAUCUGUCGGUCUCUUCCAAAAGGAACACGGAGAACCCUCUUUAUUGAAAUUCAAG
ensembl:lncRNA